rnacentral:rRNA from 1 species
UACGGGGGGGGGCAAGCGUUGUUCGGAAUUACUGGGCGUAAAGGGCUCGUAGGCGGCCAACUAAGUCGACACGUGAAAUCCCUCGGCUUAACCGGGGAACUGCGUCUGAUACUGGAUGGCUUGAAUUGGGAGAGGGAUGCGGAAUUCCAGGUGUAGCGGUGAAAUGCGUAGAUAUCUGGAGGAACACCGGUGGCGAAGGCGGCAUCCUGGACCACAGUGUACGCUGAGGAGCGAAAGCCAGGGGAGCAAACGGG